GAUGAACGCUGGCGGCGUGCUUAACACAUGCAAGUCGAACGAAACACCUUAUUUGAUUUUCUUCGGAACUGAAGAUUUGGUGAUUGAGUGGCGGACGGGUGAGUAACGCGUGGGUAACCUGCCCUGUACAGGGGGAUAACAGUCAGAAAUGACUGCUAAUACCGCAUAAGACCACAGCACCGCAUGGUGCAGGGGUAAAAACUCCGGUGGUACAGGAUGGACCCGCGUCUGAUUAGCUGGUUGGUGAGGCAACGGCUCACCAAGGCGACGAUCAGUAGCCGGCUUGAGAGAGUGAACGGCCACAUUGGGACUGAGACACGGCCCAAACUCCUACGGGAGGCAGCAGUGGGGAAUAUUGCACAAUGGGGGAAACCCUGAUGCAGCGACGCCGCGUGAGUGAAGAAGUAUCUCGGUAUGUAAAGCUCUAUCAGCAGGGAAGAAAAUGACGGUACCUGACUAAGAAGCCCUGGCUAACUACGUGCCAGCAGCCGCGGUAAUACGUAGGGGGCAAGCGUUAUCCGGAAUUACUGGGUGUAAAGGGUGCGUAGGUGGUAUGGCAAGUCAGAAGUGAAAACCCAGGGCUUAACUCUGGGACUGCUUUUGAAACUGUCAGACUGGAGUGCAGGAGAGGUAAGCGGAAUUCCUAGUGUAGCGGUGAAAUGCGUAGAUAUUAGGAGGAACAUCAGUGGCGCAGGCGGCUUACUGGACUGAAACUGACACUGAGGCACGAAAGCGUGGGGAGCAAACAGGG
rnacentral:rRNA from 1 species